UCUUUCUUUAUUUUCAGGACC
ensembl:piRNA 21ur-12303 ncRNA